ensembl:lncRNA
GUUUUUUUUUAGGUCUGGGGUAGCCUAUGUUUGUAAUUAUGUUUUGUUUUUGUUUUGUAACAUUGUUUCACUGUUGUUUUUUAAUGUAACCUUCUUCCCUAUGGACCUUAUACACCGCGCCUCCAUCUUGAAAUCCAAAACGAGGCUGGGGGGUACACUCUAACCGGAAGUUCAUUGACAGAGCGCAGCAGCGGGCGUCUAUCAUCAUGGCGAUACCUUUGUGGAUAUCAAAUCUUUCAUGUCUUCCCAACAUAACAGUGGACUAUGUCGAAAAAUGGGCCGAUAAGGACUGCAUGAUUCCCCGGGCUGUUUUGCUUAAAGGAUACAGCAACUGGAUCGAGGGAUAUGUGCACGACGUGGAAGGACAGAACCCAAUCCCUGUGGCAGAUGGACUCGAUGCUGAGAGGAGGUUUAUGACAAAUCCUGCUAAUUCAUGGCUUGCCGCAGGGACUGUCUAGGAACAGCCUACAGUAUGCACUGGGUGAAGAAUUGGUACAUUCUUCGUGUGACACAGCUUUAAUGAAAGGAUACUAUCUAACAUAUUGCCCAAGGUUAGAUCUAACUGGGGUAAAAUGAG